CCUACGGGAGGCAGCAGUGGGGAAUAUUGCACAAUGGGGGAAACCCUGAUGCAGCGACGCCGCGUGAGUGAAGAAGUAUCUCGGUACGUAAAGCUCUAUCAGUAGGGAAGAAAAUGACGGUACCUGACUAAGAAGCCCGGGCUAACUACGUGCCAGCAGCCGCGGUAAUACGGAGGGGGCAAGCGUUAUCCGGAUUUACUGGGUGGAAAGGGAGCGUAGACGGCAGCACAAGUCGGGAGUGAAAUCCCGGGGCUUAACCCGGGAACUGCAUUUGAAACUGUGCGGCUGGAGUGCAGGAGGGGUAAGCGGAAUUCCUAGUGUAGCGGUGAAAUGCGUAGAUAUUAGGAGGAACACCGAUGGCGAAGGCAGCUUACUGGACUGUAACUGACGUUGAGGCUCGAAAGCGUGGGGAGCAAACAGGAUUAGAUACCCUAGUAGUC
rnacentral:rRNA from 1 species